ACUUUCUUGAUCACAAUAUUUCUCCUGAACUCCCCAUUGGGUUUAUUUGUAAUUAGAUUAUGUUCAUAUAUUCCAGUUUUCAGGUUCUUUAGAAAUGGAAACAUGUUGACUAAAUCUAUAGGAUCAAUCCUUUUCAUAAUUGCCAGCUUUCAAGUCAGAUAUUUACUUCAGAAAAAUACAUUAAUGUUUCCUUCAAUCCUUUACAGUGGUUUGAAUUUUUUGACCUUCUCCUGCUCUUCAAUAUCCUUUCUGUUACAUCCUCUUUCUAUUCCAUGUCUGCAAUAAUAAGAAUUGACAAUGCUCAGCAGGUUGUAACAAUGUGAGUGCAAUUGCUGCUUUUUAGAUAUGGACAGUCAGUCUCUGUCAACUCAGAUUGGUGUUCUGUUUGUUUCAGGAGGAAGCAUCUCAGAAGAGGAGGAUUAGUGAUAAUAGUAAUGAGCUCUCACUAACAGAUGGUGUCCUGUCUCCUGAAAAUUUCAACAUUGUUUUACCAUUUCCUGUGUGGAACGAAAUGCUGGAAACUAUUAAACCUGGUAAAACUCA